rnacentral:rRNA from 1 species
GACGAACGCUGGCGGCGUGCCUAACACAUGCAAGUCGAACGGCAGCACGGGAGCAAUCCUGGUGGCGAGUGGCGAACGGGUGAGUAAUAUAUCGGAACGUGCCCAGUCGUGGGGGAUAACGUAGCGAAAGCUACGCUAAUACCGCAUACGAUCUACGGAUGAAAGCGGGGGAUCGCAAGACCUCGCGCGAUUGGAGCGGCCGAUAUCAGAUUAGCUAGUUGGUGGGGUAAAAGCUCACCAAGGCGACGAUCUGUAGCUGGUCUGAGAGGACGACCAGCCACACUGGAACUGAGACACGGUCCAGACUCCUACGGGAGGCAGCAGUGGGGAAUUUUGGACAAUGGGCGCAAGCCUGAUCCAGCAAUGCCGCGUGCAGGAUGAAGGCCUUCGGGUUGUAAACUGCUUUUGUACGGAACGAAACGGUGAGCUCUAAUAAAGCUUGCUAAUGACGGUACCGUAAGAAUAAGCACCGGCUAACUACGUGCCAGCACG